UUAAAUGUAUAAGUUGUCUUUUUAAAAUGUUUAAGCUUUCUACAUAAUGUAAAUUGAACAUUUUAUUAUUAUUAUUAAUUUCGCGACCUAUUAUCUAAAUUGUGUGUUCAUGAAGGCCUGUAACGUACUGCAGCUUCCUGCAGGCAACGUGAAACAUUGCUGAGGGAGAACUUUAUUCACAACAAAAGGAUAAAGAUGAAGAGGAGGGACUUGAGCAGCUUGUGAUGGCUGUAAUUGUAAAGAAUGGAUCUUCUAGGAGUGGAAGCCCAAGGGAUGCUGGAAUUGUUAUUGAGGCCUUAAAGGUGUUCACGGGGCAUGCUUUAUCUUUGGAUCUAUGCAUUGAAUCUCCAGUAUCCCAGGCAUCUUUUCAGGUGUUUCAGAAACUUUUCUUGGAGCUGGAUUCUUCAAAGUUUAUGAACUGAUUACAGUACAGUAAGUCUAAACUGCUGUCUGAUUUUCUGGGUGUGAAUCAAUGUAACAGAACACAAACAUGGAACCUUGUGGACGGGAAAUGUGGACGGUUUUCUUUAAAGACUGUAAAAUACUUUUUGAAUUGUACACUGUUACAAAUACAUCAUUAAAAUGAGAUGCUUUCCUGUUCUUUUGACUGCAAUAAAAUAAGAAUUGAUUCAUCUUUGUCUGUCAUUCUGAAAUCAGAUAUAAUACUCAUUACUAAUACAAAUAUUAAUGGAUGAUGUUAAAUUAAAAUAGUAUAAUUGAAUAGAAUUUAUUGUAUAGUGCUAGGUCUUUGUCCUGUAUACCCAAUAUUUUGUUUAAAUUUAAAUUAAUUUCUAAUUGCAAAUUGCAGAUUACCUUUUUGAAUGGGUUACUAUUAAGGAGUUUAUGUAGUGAUUCUAACACAAUUUUUAUUUGUGGAAUUUAAUUAAUGAUAUUGCUUGUAAUCUGUUGCCACACUUUUAUUGAGUAGAUAUGGCAUAAUAUUUUUUAUUGUAUAGUGCUAGAUCUUUGUCUAGUAUACACAAUAUUUUUGUUUAAAUUUUAAUAAAAAUUUUAAUUGCAAA